GCAUAUCAAUAGCGGAGGAAAAGAAACUAACAAGGAUUCCCCUAGUAACGGCGAGUGAAGAGGGAAGAGCCCAAGAUUGAAAGCUGGCGUCUUCGGCGUCCGCAUUGUAAUCUCAAGAAGUGUUUUCCGCUUCGGACCAUGCCUAAGUCCCUUGGAAAAGGGCAUCAUAGAGGGUGAUAAUCCCGUACAUGGCAUGGAGCGCCCGAAGCUUUGUGAUACGCUUUCUACGAGUCGAGUUGUUUGGGAAUGCAGCUCAAAAUGGGUGGUAAAUGCCAUCUAAGGCUAAAUAUUGGGGAGAGACCGAUAGCGAACAAGUACAGUGAUGGAAAGAUGAAAAGAACUUUGAAAAGAGAGUUAAACAGUACGUGAAAUUGCCAAAAGGGAAGGGUAGGAGGUCAGAGAUGCGUCUUGGGAUUCAGCCUUGCUUUUUCGCUUGGUGUUUUUCCCAAGUUGCAGGCCAACGUCGGUUUUGGGCACUGGAGAAGGGUGGGAGGAACGUGGCACCUCUCGGGGUGUGUUAUAGCCUCCUACUGGAUACAGCGACCGAGACCGAGGACAGCAGCGUACUCGCAAGAGCGGGCCUUCGGGCACCUUUACGCUUAGGGCGUUGGCAUAAUGGCCCUCUACCACCCGUCUUGAAACACGGACCAAGGAGUCUAACAUGUAUGCGAGUCUUUGGGUGGCAAACCCAUAGGCGCAAUGAAAGUGAAUUCAGGUGGGAUCCGCAAGGUGCACCAUCGACCGAUCCUCACGUCUUUUAAGUCGUGGAUUUGAGUAAGAGCAUACCUGUUGGGACCCGAAAGAUGGUGAACUAUGCCUGAAUAGGGUGAAGCCAGAAGAAACUCUGGUGGAGGCUCGUAGCGGUUCUGACGUGCAAAUCGAUCGUCAAAUUUGGGUAUAGGGGCGAAAGACUAAUCGAUCAUCUAGUAGCUGGGUCUGCG
rnacentral:rRNA from 1 species